AUUAUGACGUAGAGCCUAGAGUCGGCAGCUCGGCAGCAGCAGCUGCCGAGUAAUAGGCGAAUUCCCCGAGGUGGUAAAAGGCGAAUUCCCCGAAGUGGUAAUAUGCGAAUUCCCCGAGGUGGUAAUAGGCUAAUUCCCCGAAGUGGUAAUAGGCGAAUUCCCCGAGGUGCAUUAUCGACACAUAGUAGCAGCUGCCAAGAAAUGGGUGAAUUCCCCGACGUGGGUGAUCAGCAUAUAGUAGUAGCUGCCUAGUAAUAGGCUAAUUCCCCAAGGUGGGUGAUCGGCAUAUAGUAGCAGCUGCCAAGUAGUUGGCUCAUUCCCGAGGUGGGUGAUCGGCAUAUAGUAGUAGCUGCCUAGUAAUAGGUGAAUUCCCCGAGGUGGGUGAUCGGCAUAUAGUAGUAGCUGCCAAGUAAUAGGCGAAUUCCCUGAGGUUCAUCAUCGGCAUAUAGUUGUAGCUGCCUAGUAAUAGGUGAAUUCUCCGAGGUGGGUGAUCGGCAUAUAGUAGUAGCUGCCAAGUGAUAGACUAAAUACCCGAGGUGGGUGAUCGGCAUAUAGUAGUAGCUGCUAAGUAAUAGGCGAAUUCCCCGAGGUGGGUGAUCGGCAUUUAGUAGUAGCUGCUAAGUAAUAGGCUAAUUCCCCGAGGUGGGCGAUCGGCAUAUAGUAGAAGCUUCCAAGUAAUAGGCGAAUUCCCCGAGGUGGGCGAUCGGCAUAUAGUAGUAGCUGGCAGACUGCAUUACUGGCACACCUAUAGAUGAGGCUGAUUUGUAGGCUUUAAGAACCCUUCUUAUACAAGAAAUCUUGUGCUAUAAGGAAAAGGAAUAAUUACCAUUAAGCAUUGCCGUUAUCGUCUUCCUCCCGAGAAGUAAAAGUUUUAAACCACGCUUUUUUAUGCAGCUCACACAGGGUGAGGUUUCAUAGGGAGGUACAAGAUGCAUAAUUAAAGGGGGCAGCUCACACAGGGUGAGGUUUCGUAGGGAGGUACAAGAUGCAUAAUUAAAGGGUGCAGCUCACACAGGGUGAGGUUUCGUAGGGAGGUACAAGAUGCA